UGGGCCUUGAGGGAAAAGAACUGUGAAAUUUGGGUUCAAUUUAGUUGUUUUGAUCUGGACUUCUUUAUGAGUAGGGAGAAUUAAAUUGGCCACAUGUGACCUUGUAUUUAGAGGAAAUCAAAUCAUUCAAACAAGAUAAUUUAGCCCCUUGCUCAACAAUUCCUCCUUUUCUCUUCAACUCCAGGGUUAUUGAUUGAGGUCCUGCCUGAAUACAUUUUACUAGAGUUUAGAGAAUUGUAAUAGUUGCAUUGUUUCUCUGGUUACAACCUCAAAAUGCACUGCAGAUUUCUUCAACUGAAAUUGCUCCGAUGUUAAUAUGUUGUGGGAAUGAAAGACUGAUUUCAGCACUCAAGCUACACCAGAGGAAACAGCAGUGAGGAGAAACCAAGCAGCGAUCAUGGGACAAGAGGUCUUUUCUUCCUGUCUUCAUCUGCUGAUCUGCUCACCUGAUAUUCACUGAGUACCAAGUUUAUGCCAGGCUGAAGUCCUGGCUGGAAUGCUUCUUGUAUCAUAUCAUUGGAGAUUGGAAGAAUUGAGAUGUUUCUUGCUGUGGUUGUCCAACCCAGCUCUAGUUUGUCAGCCAGUAUUCUGCAUGCACAAAAGUAGUGUUUAAUCUAAGAAGACUCGAG
rnacentral:lncRNA from 1 species